rnacentral:lncRNA from 1 species
CUCAAAUGAAUAAAACUUACGGUGAUUGAAUAAACAGAAAAACAUAAAUCAUAAAGGCAAAAUUAUGAACGGAUCCAAAACCUCAAAAGAAGCCCAAAAACUAAAUUGGCCCGCUGCAAUCCAUUAUGCGCGCGGCGCAGAUUUUCGCGUGGCCUCGUUCCCCUUUGGCCUAGCUCAACGGCUCGACUCAACUCGGCCUGCUGUUGUUGCGGCUCGGCUCGGCUCGGCCCGUCAUCAUCUCACUUGGGCCCGUGAGGGUCAGCCAGGUAACAGCCCUGCAACGCAGCCCAAAUAAUGGCCCAACAGCGUAGCUCGGCAGUGGCCCAGUCCAUGCAUGUGGCCCGGCUCCAAUAGUGUCAACCGCGGGAGGCAUCAUGGCCAUCGAUCUGAGAAUGGAUGGACGACGCGAUUUGAGUCUGGCAUGAAACGCCUUAAACCCUAACCGCCGCUGUCAGUCUCUCCACUCUCUUAUCCCCUUCUCGUUUGUCUCCCUAGACCCUGAGCUGCACCUCCGGCCGCCACCCGCACGCCGCCCUUGCUGAGCUCCGCUGCGGGCCCUUUCGCCGGUGCCGGCGUGCGACAUAGUCGCGCGCGGCUUCGUCGAGGGGCUCCGCUGCGAGCAUCAUGGCGGGGCCGGGCGCACCUCAGGUGCAGCGGUCGUUCCGGGUCGACAUCGACGGCGACGGAGAGUCAAACUGAUGACUCGCCGUGCUGGGUCACGUCAGGGUCCGCUUGCAGAAUGAGCUCAAGCGGCAGGCGCUAGGAACGGCAGCUGAGGGGGCGUUGGUCUGGCUGCUGCGGGUUGCUCAACGGCGAUUCAAGCCUCGAGCGACCCUUGAUGAUGCAGCCGGUCGGGAAGGUGACCGUCAUCCACGCACGGCGGCCUCAUGCCACGCGCGGCUGGCAACCAUGUAGGCUAAGGUUCUUGAUUUUGGGGAUUCUCAUGGGAUUUGGGAAUUUGCUAAUAGGAUUCGAAAUUCGCCUUUUCCCCUCCUAAAAUGCUGCUCGUGACUUAUUCUGAUGGGAUUUACCAGUAGUUGAUCUAAUUUGGCGGAAUUUUGACAAUAUUUGUGCAAACAGUGAACCAUAGAGCCCUAAGAUCCCUAAUGCUCAAUUUAAUCACGAAGAUUACCUUAAUUAUGGAUCGGUUGUGCGAAUCUCAUGCACUAAUUGAUCAUGCUUUAGGUCUAAUCCGUCACUUGGAUAUAACCAGAUUAGAAAAAAAUUAAUCAUGUUAAUGCUGAAACUUAUUUAAGGGUUGCCCGUCUAAUCUAGACUCUAAUUCGGUAACUUAAACAUGACAAACCGAUCUAGAUUAGAGAUAAUGGCACAUCGAAUUGAGCUUAAAACUAAUCUGGAUUGCAAAUCUUAGGAAAUCAUGCAUGGAAAACAAUUUGAGUUGCACGAGUUCACUUUAAUUGCACAUAAAACUAUUCUGCCGUGGUACUGUUUGCUCAUAUAAACUCACUUGAACGUGCGGCAGGACUAAUUUGCACAUUGACCGAUGUAAAACUAACCUGAGAAACCCUAAUUCUCACUUAAUCAUGCAUGAAACAAAUCUGCAGAACACUAGUAGCACUUGAACUUGCACGAUUCGACUGAUACACCACUAAUUAGAGGCAUGAAAACUAAUUUGCUCUGGGAUGAGGACCAGGAUAGGCUAAUAAUGGCUCUAAUACCAACUGUUAAAUCUUAACUAACAUGAAAACUUAAUCUAAUCCACAGGAUCACUUAGCCUAAACGUGAUCACGUCAUCUAAUAAUUAGAAUAAAUUGAGGAAGAAUUACCUGAGCCUUGAACCUCCAUGGAUCUGCCUCUGAAAUUGGUGAAGAUGUUGAUGUAGAAGUAGCAGCGAAGAAUAUGACCACCAAAUCAAGAGUAAAGACUCUCAAUUUGAUGACAUGUGGUCUGAACGUGGGUACGAGCUUCUACCCCUUUCAGUGCCCUUAGCAGUCAGAUUAGAUCUGUUCUUGUGGAAGUCUGUUCUUGUGGAAGAACAGAUCCGGUUUGGGUGGCUAAUCACGUUGUUAACUCGUUAACUCGCGAUUAGGAGGCCCACGCACUGCGGGGUAGGGCCGUAUCUUCUCCACGAAGUUUGGGUUGUAGCCGACUAAUAUAGCAACAAACUGAGAUAUUUUAGGUGGUAAUUAUCUCGUGAUUUAUCUCUAAUUAAUCUCGGAUUAAAACUUAAUUAAUAUCCUAUGAUUAAUCAGAGAUCAUUCUUCCAUCGCAAUAGGUCUGGCCCAGAGAGAGAAGAGGUAACUCACGCCGUCACCCAAGUCCACUCUUAGUCAUAAAUGUAUAAAAGAAAGUCCACAUGAGUAUACAUCAGGGACAGGUGUUGAUAAGGUCACGGACGCAAGUGUGGCGGUGGUGCACCAUCCAUCGCUGCCAGUGAUGGGGCCGUUACUGGUAGUGACAACGAGAUUUACACGAUGUAUGAACAGUUAAGCUGAGUCAUCACCGUGGGUCAGAAAUCAAACCUGUCACCGAUCGAUCAUUGAUUCAUGGGUCAUCCCUGCAGUAUAUAUGUGUGUGCCACGUAACUUGCUGAACGUUGAAAAAAUCCUUACCUGGCAAAAUAUAUUUCAUAUCACAUUUCCACUUAGGGACCGGCAUGCUGAUCUCAGCUAUAUACGUCAGUGCUGAUGUUGACACUAGAAAAGCAUCCAACAAAAGCAGAGGGCCAGCAUCGUCAGUGCCGGUGGUUAAAACAUCACCGCCCUAGUGAUGGGGCCGUUACUGAUGGUGACCACAACAUAACAUGAUGUAAUAGUUAGCUGAGUCAUUUGUGAGGACCAGAAACCACAUUUCACUUCGCACGCCAUAUAACAUUUCCACAUUUGAAUAGCAAAUAGAUUUUUUGCCUGGCUGGAGUUUUUGUCCGGCAUAUUAUCUGUAACACUCCACGUGUGAAAUUUACUUACGGUCUAGCUCCUCACGUAGAACGGACCCUCAUACACAGAGCACAUCUCUUAUACUUUCGUUCUCACUUUGUGUCAAAAGGUUAACGUCGAGGUGCUAUGUUUGGAGCGAUAAAGGUGAUAAGCUAGACCCUCUAAAUUUUCAAGUGUUAUUACUAAACCAACCAACUAGUGGAGUAGGAUACCGGGUUAGGAUAUUACAGCAUGGAGUAACUAGUGGUUGGAUUUGGAGGAGAAAUUCACUUGGAAAUCUGAUGUUUAGUCCCCUUCUCUUGUUUGAUUUUUGUAAAAACAAUUAGAGUGGGAGCAUAAGAGAAAAAUUCAUAUUCUUUGUUUAGUGUGGGGAUUUGCAGGUGAGAAAUUUACAAGUUAUGAUAUAUCCAUCUUCCACUUAAAGAAUAAUUCACACCCCAAUUACCACCGCUCCCCUUGGAAAGGAUUGUGGGAGUUAUUUGGCCUGCUAAGCUCACAUUUUCCAUCCCUCGAAAACUUCCAUAUUCGUGCCAAACAAAUACUAGAUUUCUAACCUUUUCUAUGAAAACUCUCAAUGCCUUAGCUUGCAUCAAUUACCUCCAACCAAAUGUAGAUAGGUGAGCAAAGGCGGCAAUCGGUAUUGUCCGUGCUAGCACGCUUAUCUGGAUGGCAUAAUAGUCUAUACAAGGUAGGAUAUGGAGACAAAAAGAAGUUAAAACUUGCUAUAAUAAUUUAUUUAUGAGAUUCUAAACAAGCACCCAUCACGGACCCAAGUGUGGCGGUGGUGCUCCAACAAUCACUGCCAGUGAUAGGGCCGUUACUGGUGGUGACAACAAGACAACACGAUGUAACAAUUAAGCUGAGUCAUCAGUGAGGUUCAGAAUGAAAUCAAACCUGUCACCAAUCAUGGGUCAUCCCCUGCUGUAUAUAUGUGUGCCACGUCGCUAAACAUUGAAAAAAAUCUUUACUUUUGCUAAACACUGAAGCUGGACCGUAAGUAGAUUUUGGCCAUGUCCGCUUUUUCCUCUUAGGGACCGGUAUGCUGGUCUUAGCUAUUUGUCAGUGCUGGUGGUGUUACACUAGAAAGGUCCAGCACGGUCAGUGCCGGUGGUGCACAUCACUGCUAGUGAUGGGGCCGUUACUGAUGGUGACAACAAGCAGUGGAGGAGGCCGAAUUAAAUCUUAGGUGGCUUGCUUCUUCCUCCUCCAUCUCCACCUCUUCUUCCUCCUUUUCUUCUUAUUUUCCCACUCUUCUCCUCAUCUUCCUCCUUUGGCUCUAAUGGAGCUCUUGAGUAUGUAGUAGAGGUCUAGAGCCCCAUAGCCUUCCCUAUCCGCCCCUGACAACAAGAUAACAUGAUGUACGCAAUAAUUAAGCUGAGUAAUUAUUUUGUUAUCACUAAUGGGCUGUAUGUGUGCCACGUGUAACUCGCUAAACAUGAGAUGAAAAAUCUUACCUUGCUAAACAGCUUUCACUUAGCACACCAUAUAGUAUUUCAACAUUUGAUUAGAAAUUUUUUUUCGAAAACGUACUAGCAAUUAUUGCUGACGUUGUAUCCUUUCUUUUUUUAUAACAGGAGUUUUACUACUGGUGUGCUAGGUGUAUGAGCUG